UACGUAGGGUCCGAGCGUUGUCCGGAAUUAUUGGGCGUAAAGGGCUCGUAGGCGGUUCGUCGCGUCGGGAGUGAAAACCCAGGGCUUAACCCUGGGCUGGCUUCCGAUACGGGCAGACUAGAGGUAUGCAGGGGAGAACGGAAUUCCUGGUGUAGCGGUGAAAUGCGCAGAUAUCAGGAGGAACACCGGUGGCGAAGGCGGGUCUCUGGGCCGAUACUGACGCUGAGGAGCGAAAGCGUGGGGAGCGAACAGG
rnacentral:rRNA from 1 species